rnacentral:lncRNA from 1 species
GGAAGGGAGAGCGCCGUUUCCCGUUUCCCGUUUCCCAUCCUUUGUCACUACUCCGUAUGAUGACUAUUCGGCCAAUCUCCGAACCUUUGCCCAGUUCCGAUUACAACGGAGUGACCGAGGAUCCAGUUACCGGUAAUUUCUUUGCUUUCUACUAUCUUAUUAUUGUAUUGAAUAAGGAACAAAAAUGAGCGAGAAACAGAAAAAGAAGAAAGGAAAAACAAAAUCUAUUCACCUUUUUUUUAUUUCUUUGAAUAUUUUUUUUCUUUUUGUAUUCGAUCUCUGUAAAAAAGGAAGAAGAUCCGUUUACAGUGUUUGCACUGGCCCUUUAUAGCCAAAAUUACAAAAAUAAAUAAAUAAUAAAAAUCGAUCUGUUAUUUCUUUUUCCGUUUUUCCUUUUCUGCUUUUGUUGGCCUAUUGUUGUUGCUUUGUUGCUGCGUUGUCCAUUUUUGUUUGUUGCAGGUACGGCCGUACGGAGGGUGGACGUGGCGUAGCGUAUGAGGCGUGGUACGGUUACUGCGGCGCUGGGAGCCGAAAGUUGCUAGGGUUCCUUGCUCCUGUUUUGCGUUUUGGGCUCAGUGGGCUAAAGGUUUUUUUUUAUGCUAGUGGGUUAAUAGGUUUGGUGUGUGUUUUCGUUAAAACGGGUUGGGUUGUAAUUUUGGCUAGCUGAAAUUUGUAAAUGGACCGCUAUUUCAUUGGACUAUUUUUUUUAAAAUUUGAUUAAUUUUAUUGUGUGGGCACGGGUCAAAAUUGGGCAUUACACCAAUCACACAUCCAAAAUAUACCUAAAUGGUCAAACUCAUAUGUGAAACAUUGUGCCUAACUUAUCAUGCUUGCCACACCUCAAAUUCAACCAUUU